GAAGCUUGCAAUUUCCAAUGUACAACAUCACUUGAAUGCAACAAUGGAGAAAGUUUGAGUAAUCGAGAAACAAAAGGAGUAAGGAGGCUCGUUCUUUUGCAUUCAACCUUUUUCUUUUCAUGCCUUCUUUUUUUUUAGCUAAUUUUCUUUUUAUCUUUUCCCACUUAAUUGAUUUAGAAGUUUUAUGA
rnacentral:ribozyme from 12 species